UGGGGAAUUUUGGACAAUGGACGCAAGUCUGAUCCAGCCAUGCCGCGUGCGGGAAGAAGGCCUUCGGGUUGUAAACCGCUUUUGUCAGGGAAGAAACGAGUUUCUCUAAUACAGAGACUUAAUGACGGUACCUGAAGAAUAAGCACCGGCUAACUACGUGCCAGCAGCCGCGGUAAUACGUAGGGUGCGAGCGUUAAUCGGAAUUACUGGGCGUAAAGCGUGCGCAGGCGGUUAUGUAAGACAGAUGUGAAAUCCCCGGGCUCAACCUGGGACCUGCAUUUGUGAUUGUAUAGCUAGAGUACGGUAGAGGGGGAUGGAAUUCCGCGUGUAGCAGUGAAAUGUGUAGAUAUGCGGAGGAACACCGAUGGCGAAGGCAAUCCCCUGGACCUGUACUGACGCUCAUGCACGAAAGCGUGGGGAGCAAACA
rnacentral:rRNA from 1 species